rnacentral:lncRNA from 1 species
CUUACUUUUAGUUUUUUAUCUAUGGUAGAACCACCCAGAGCAGGGGUCCUCAACUCCCAGGCCACAGACUCAUACCAGUCCACGGACUAUUAUGAACCACACCACACAGGAGGAGGUGAGCACUAGGCAAGCCAAGGAAGCUUCACCUGUACUUACAGCCACACGCCAUGGCUCAUAUUACAGCCUGAACUCUGCCUCCACUCAGAUCAGUGAUAACAUUAGAAACUCAUUGGAGCACGAACCCUGUUGUGAACUGCCUAUCCGAAGGAUCUAGGUUGUGUGCUUCGUAUGAGAAUCUAAUGCCAGAUGAUCUAUCAUUGUCUCACUUUGCCCCCAGAUAAGACCAUCUAGUUGCAGAAAAAUAAGCUCAGAGCUUCCACUGAUUCUACAUUAUGGAUAUGUGCCGCCGAAGCAAGCACAAAGCCCUACUUUUACACAUGCCUAGUGAUGCUUCAUGGACAAGGCUUGGCUCUGUUGAGUCCAACUAACCUACCUGAGAUUCUGAGAUUUCUCUUCAAUGGCUUCCUGUGAGCUAGAGUUUGAAAAUAUCUUAAAAUCUUGAGCUAGAGAUGGAAGUAGCUUGGACGAUUUUCAUUAUCAUGUAAAUCGGGUCACUCAAGGGGCCAACCACAGCUGGGAGCCACUGCUCAGGGGAAGGUUCAUAUGGGACUUUCUACUGCCCAAGGUUCUAUACAGGAUAUAAAGGUGCCUCACAGUAUAGAUCUGGUAGCAAAGAAGAAGAAACAAACACUGAUCUCUUUCUGCCACCCCUCUGACCCUUUGGAACUCCUCUGACCCUUUAGAACAAGCCUACCUAAUAUCUGCUAGAGAAAAGACCAACAACGGCCUCAAAGGAUCUCUUACCAUGAAGGUCUCAGCUAAUUCUUGGCUAAGAUGUGGGUUCCACAUUAGGUUCUGAAUAUGGGGGGAAGGGUCAAUUUGCUCAUUUUGUGUGUGGAUAAAGUCAGGAUGCCCAGGGGCCAGAGCAGGGGGCUGCUGCUUUGGGAACAAUGGCUGAGCAUAUAACCAUAGGUAUGGGAACAAAAAACAUCAAAGUCACUGUAUCAAUUGCCAUGAAGACUCGAGGGACCUGAAUCUACCGAUUCAUCUUAAGGCAGCAGGACCAGUUUGAGUGGCAACAAUGCAGCAGCAGAAUCAAUGGAAACAACAGAAUGAUUGCAAUGUCCUUUUUUUUCUCCUCCUUCUGACUUGAUAAAAGGGACCGUCUUCCUUGGAUUUAGUGAACCCCUUUGGUUCCUGAAAAAUUCAAGGAGUAUCUAGGACAUAGUCCCCAGAAGACAGUACAAGACUUUCUGAUAAACUGGACAUUUCAAGACCCAAAUAACUAAUCAGAAAAAUCAAAGAUGUGAUACUAUUUUUUAUCCCAUGCAUAGGUGCUACACUUGGAUCAAAUGAACAAUGUUGGGAUCUCUAUGGAUAAAGGUCUUAAAAGUCCUGAGAUAAAGAAUCCUGCACCCACUGGUACUUCUAA